CCUACGGGAGGCAGCAGUAGGGAAUUUUCGGCAAUGGGGGGAACCCUGACCGAGCAACGCCGCGUGAACGAAGAAGUUAUUCGUAAUGUAAAGUUCUUUUAACAGGGAAGAAAGAGAAAUUUGACGGUACCUGAAGAAUAAGCUCCGGCUAACUACGUGCCAGCAGCCGCGGUAAUACGUAGGGGGCGAGCGUUAUCCGGAAUUAUUGGGCGAAAAGGGUGCGUAGAUGGCAUAGUAAGUCUUUUGUAAAAAUGCUGGGCUAAACCCAGUAGGGCAAAAGAUACUGGAAAGCUAGAGUAUGACAGAGGAAAGUGGAAUUACAGGUGUAGCGGUAAAAUGCGUAAAUAUAUGUAAGAACACCAGUGGCGAAGGCGGCUUGCUGGGUCGAUACUGACAUUGAGGCACGAAAGCGUGGGGAGCAAACAGGAUUAGAUACCCGAGUAGUC
rnacentral:rRNA from 1 species